GGGCAUAUGGUGUAGCUGGUUAUCACAUCCGCUUAGCAUUGGUGCUGAGCUGCGGGGGGUCUCCGGUUCGAGUCCGGAUUUGUCCA